rnacentral:tRNA from 2 species
CGGGGCGUAGCGCAGUUUGGAAGCGCGCUUGGUUCGGGAUCAAGAGGUCGGAGGUUCAAAUCCUCUCGCCCCGACCA